rnacentral:rRNA from 1 species
AGAAUCAACGCUGGCGGCGUGCCUAACACAUGCAAGUCGAACGAGAAAGUGGAGCAAUCCAUGAGUAAAGUGGCGCACGGGUGAGUAACACGUGACUAACCUACCCUUGAGUGGGGAAUAACUUCGGGAAACCGAGGCUAAUACCGCAUAAUACCUACGGGUCAAAGGAGCAAUUCGCUUAAGGAGGGGUCGCGGCAGAUUAGUUAGUUGGCAGGGUAAUGGCCUACCAAGACGGUGAUCUGUA